UACGUAGGGUCCGAGCGUUGUCCGGAAUUACUGGGCGUAAAGAGCUCGUAGGUGGUUUGUCGCGUUGUUCGUGAAAACUCACAGCUUAACUGUGGGCGUGCGGGCGAUACGGGCAGACUGGAGUACUGCAGGGGAGACUGGAAUUCCUGGUGUAGCGGUGGAAUGCGCAGAUAUCAGGAGGAACACCGGUGGCGAAGGCGGGGUCUCUGGGCAGUAACUGACGCUGAGGAGCGAAAAGCGUGGGAGAAGCG
rnacentral:rRNA from 1 species